AUCAAUAUUAAGAAGACUUCAUGCCCUGGCCGGUUCGGCUCAGAUGAUAGAGCAUCAGCCUGCAGACUGAAGGGUCCCAGGUUCGAUUCCGGUCAAGGGCAUAUAUCUUGGUUGCGGGCACAUCCCCAGCCAGUUCCCUGGUC